AAAGGUAUCAAUACAACCAAGUAAAACAAUCAAAAGACGGCAUUACAAUUCUGACUUCUUCACAGUUUUAUUCCACUUUGCAAGAUAUGCAUGGCCACUUUAGUUCCACCUCAAUCCUUCCAUAGCUGGCUUGAAUGCAUUGCAUUUUCAGCUAUUGUUCCGUACUUUAUUCCAAAUGUAAGAAGUCUUCAUUGAUCUGUCCAAACCUUGUUCCGAGCCAGGAAGAGCCACUGUUCCAAGCUGGAAACAAUGUAAAAUUUGUCCAGCCCUUAAGAAUAUCACAAAGGAUGGUGCGGCUAACCCAAGCCCAUUGGCAUGAGGUUUUGUUGACUUCAUAAAUCUGUAAGAAUGCAUAUGUAACUCUUCCAGUAAGAUGAAUGAGGCCUCAUUACCUACAAACCAUGACUGCAUUUAUGUACAACUUCUUUACAAAAUUAAAUAUUUGGUUGAAUAUCCCUGGAUCGCAUGUAGGUUGAAAAUUGAGUAGGUAGUUCAGCUAGAAGCGCUUGAACAACAGAAAUUUGUCCACUUUGUACACUCCGGAAUGGUACAAACUGAACUAUAUCACGUGAAGCAACACGUCCAGUAGAACUUUCGAGUCUCUCUCCUUUGUCAGCAUCCAAAAUCUCCAUUUCUUUGAAGUCAGCUCCUCCAACUCCAACAAUAAGGAUUGA
rnacentral:misc_RNA from 1 species